rfam:Schistosoma haematobium scaffold971_7, whole genome shotgun sequence.
AUCCAGCUGACGAGUCCCAAAUAGGACGAAACGCACAUCAAACUGGAU